rnacentral:rRNA from 1 species
GAUGAACGCUGGCGGCGUGCCUAAUACAUGCAAGUCGAACGAGGUGCCUUUGUAGCAAUACGGAGGUAUCCUAGUGGCGAACGGGUGAGUAACGCGUUGGUGACCUACCCCGAAGUCUGGGAUAACAGUUCGAAAGGACUGCUAAUACCGGAUGUGGUCAUCGGAUUUAGAAACCGAUGUCUAAAGGAUUUAUUCGCUUCGGGAGGGGCCUGCGUCCCAUCAGCUAGUUGGUAGGGUAAUGGCCUACCAAGGCGACGACGGGUAGGGGACCUGAGAGGGUGACCCCCCACAAUGGAACUGAAACACGGUCCAUACACCUACGGGUGGCAGCAGUAGGGAAUAUUGCACAAUGGGCGAAAGCCUGAUGCAGCAACGCCGCGUGUGCGAAGAAGGCCUUCGGGUCGUAAAGCACUUUUCUGGGAGAUGAGAAAGGAC